rnacentral:rRNA from 1 species
UACGGGGGGGGCAAGCGUUGCUCGGAAUUACUGGGCGUAAAGGGCUCGUAGGCGGCCAACUAAGUCGGAUGUGAAAUCCCCAGGCUCAACCUGGGAACUGCAUCCGAUACUGGAUGGCUUGAAUUCGGGAGAGGGAUGCAGAAUUCCAGGUGUAGCGGUGAAAUGCGUAGAUAUCUGGAGGAAUACCGGUGGCGAAGGCGGCAUCCUGGACCGACAUUGACGCUGAGGAGCGAAAGCCAGGGGAGCAAACGGG